rnacentral:rRNA from 1 species
GGCGUGCUUACACAUGCAAGUCGAACGAGGUGAUUGAAAGCUUGCUUUUGAGAACCGAGUGGCAAACGGGUGAGUAACGCGUAGACAACCUGCCGCAAAGAUGGGGACAACAGUCCGAAAGGACUGCUAAUACCGAAUGUUGUCAGUUUCUCACAUGAGAGACUGAUUAAAGAUGGCCUCUACUUGUAAGCUAUCGCUUUGCGAUGGGUCUGCGUCUAAUUAGCUAGUUGGUGGGGUAACGGCCUACCAAGGCGACGAUCAGUAGCCGGUCUGAGAGGAUGAACGGCCACAUUGGAACUGAGACACGGUCCAGACUCCUACGGGAGGCAGCAGUGGGGAAUCUUCCGCAAUGGGCGAAAGCCUGACGGAGCAACGCCGCGUGAGUGAAGAAGGGUUUCGGCUCGUAAAGCUCUGUUGACGGGGACGAACGUGCGAGAUGCGAAUAGUUUCUUGCAAUGACGGUACCCGUCGAGGAAGCCACGGCUAACUACGUGCCAGCAGCCGCG